UACAGAGGGUGCGAGCGUUGUUCGGAAUUAUUGGGCGUAAAGCGCUGGUAGGUGGCCUGACAAGUCGCGUGUGAAAGCUCCCGGCUCAACCGGGAAAGUGCGCGCGAAACUGGCGGGCUUGAGUGCCGGAGAGGACCGCGGAAUUCCCGGUGUAGAGGUGAAAUUCGUAGAUAUCGGGAGGAACACCAGAGGCGAAGGCGGCGGUCUGGAAGGUGACUGACACUGAGCAGCGAAAGCGUGGGGAGCAAACAGG
rnacentral:rRNA from 1 species